rnacentral:rRNA from 1 species
GUCUGUAUUUAGGUGUAUACAGUCUGGCCUGCCCACUGGAUUUUCUAAAAGGCCGCGGUAUCUUGACCGUGCAAAGGUAGCAUAAUAAUUAGUUCUUUAAUUGGGAUCUUGAAUGAAGGGUUAAACAAAAGAAAGACUAUCUAAAUUAUAAAGAUUGAAUUUAACUUUUAAGUGAGAAGGCUUAAAUUAUCUAGGGGGACGAUAAGACCCUAUAAAGCUUAAUAUUUAUUUUACUUUAUUUUAAAUUAAAAAUAAAAAUUUAAAUUGAUUAUUUAUUUUGUUGGGGCGACAGGAAUAUAAUUAAUAUAACUGUUCUAUAAAUAAAUCAUAUAUAAAUGAAUAUAGAUCCUUAUUAGAGAUUAAAAGAUUAAGUUACUUUAGGGAUAACAGCGUAAUUUCUUUUGAGAGUUCUUAUCGAAAAAUAAGUUUGCGACCUCGAUGUUGAAUUAAAAUAUCUAUAUAAAGUAGCCAUUAUAUAAGAAAGUCUGUUCGACUUUUAAUAUUUUACAUGAUUUGAGUUCAGACCGGUGUGAG